rnacentral:rRNA from 1 species
GACGUAGGGCGCGAGCGUUGUCCGGAUUUAUUGGGCGUAAAGAGCUCGUAGGCGGCUUGUCGCGUCGUUCGUGAAAAACCUGCAGCUCAACUGCAGGCUUGCGGUCGAUACGGGGCAGGCUGGAGUUCGGUAGGGGGAGACUGGAAUUCCUGGUGUAGCGGUGAAAAUGCGCAGAUAUCAGGGAGGGAACACCCGGGUGGGCGAAAGGGCGGGGUCUCU